rnacentral:tRNA from 1 species
GGACCCUUAGCUCAGUUGGUUAGAGCAGUCGGCUCAUAACCGAUCGGUCCUGGGUUCGAGCCCCGGAGGGUCCA